GACAGAGGGGGCAAGCGUUGCUCGGAAUCACUGGGCGUAAAGGGCGCGUAGGCGGGAUGGCAAGUCGGUCGUGAAAUCCCUGGGCUCAACUCAGGGGGGUCGGCCGAUACUGCUGUUCUUGAGGGAUGCAGAGGAGACUGGAAUUCCCGGUGUAGCGGUGAAAUGUGUAGAGAUCGGGAGGAACACCAGUGGCGAAGGCGACUCUUUGGCCUGUAACUGACGCUGAGGCGCGAAAGCGUGGGGAGCAAACAGG
rnacentral:rRNA from 1 species